UACGGGGGGGGCAAGCGUUGUUCGGAAUUACUGGGCGUAAAGGGCUCGUAGGCGGCCAACUAAGUCAGACGUGAAAUCCCUCGGCUUAACCGGGGAACUGCGUCUGAUACUGGAUGGCUUGAGUCCGGGAGAGGGAUGCGGAAUUCCAGGUGUAGCGGUGAAAUGCGUAGAUAUCUGGAGGAACACCGGUGGCGAAGGCGGCAUCCUGGACCGGCACUGACGCUGAUGAGCGAAAGCCAGGGGAGCAAAGCGGG
rnacentral:rRNA from 1 species